UACGGAGGGUGCAAGCGUUAUCCGGAUUCACUGGGUUUAAAGGGUGUGUAGGCGGAUAUUUAAGUCAGUGGUGAAAUCUCCAGGCUCAACCUGGAAACUGCCAUUGAUACUAUUUAUCUUGAAUUCUGUUGAGGUGGGCGGAAUACAUCAUGUAGCGGUGAAAUGCUUAGAUAUGAUGUAGAACACCGGUGGCGAAGGCGGCGACCUGGUCCAUUACUGACGCUGAGGCGCGACAGCGUGGGGGAGCGAAC
rnacentral:rRNA from 1 species